AUGAACGCUGGCGGCGUGCCUAAUACAUGCAAGUCGAGCGAACAGAUGAGGAGCUUGCUCCUCAGACGUUAGCGGCGGACGGGUGAGUAACACGUGGAUAACCUACCUAUAAGACUGGGAUAACUUCAGGAAACCGGAGCUAAUACCGGAUAAUAUAUUGAACCGCAUGGUUCAAUAGUGAAAGACGGUUUUGCUGUCACUUAUAGAUGGAUCCGCGCCGCAUUAGCUAGUUGGUAAGGUAACGGCUUACCAAGGCAACGAUGCGUAGCCGACCUGAGAGGGUGAUCGGCCACACUGGAACUGAGACACGGUCCAGACUCCUACGGGAGGCAGCAGUAGGGAAUCUUCCGCAAUGGGCGAAAGCUUGACGGAGCAACGCCGCGUGAGUGAUGAAGGUCUUCGGAUCGUAAAACUCUGUUAUUAGGGAAGAACAAAUGUGUAAGUAACUAUGCACGUCUUGACGGUACCUAAUCAGAAAGCCACGGCUAACUACGUG
rnacentral:rRNA from 1 species